rnacentral:rRNA from 1 species
GAUCAUGGCUCAGGAUGAACGCUAGCUACAGGCUUAACACAUGCAAGUCGAGGGGCAGCAUGGUCUUAGCUUGCUAAGGCCGAUGGCGACCGGCGCACGGGUGAGUAACACGUAUCCAACCUGCCGUCUACUCUUUGACAGCCUUCUGAAAGGAAGAUUAAUACAAGAUGGCAUCAUGAGUUCACAUGUUCACAUGAUUAAAGGUAUUCCGGUAGGCGAUGGGGA